GAUGAAGAACGUAGCGAAAUGCGAUACUUGGUGUGAAUUGCAGAAUCCCGUGAACCAUCGAGUUUUUGAACGCAAGUUGCGCCCGAAGCCAUCAGGUUGAGGGCACGUCUGCCUGGGCGUCACAUAUCGUUGCCCAAUGCCUAUUGCAGUGCAAUAGGAAUUUCUAGGGCGAAUGAUGGCUUCCCGUGAGCGUUGUUGCCUCGCGGUUGGUUGAAAAUCGAGUCCUUGGUAGGGUGUGCCAUGGUAGAUGGUGGUCGAGUUAGAACGAUACCGAUCAUGUGCAUGCUCCCCAAAAUAUGGCCUCUAUGACCCACACGCGUCUUUUGACGCUCAUGACGAGACCUCAGGUCAGGCGGGGCUACCCGCUGAAUUUAAGCAUAUCAAUAAGCGGAGGA
rnacentral:misc_RNA from 1 species